rnacentral:rRNA from 1 species
CCUACGGGUGGCAGCAGUGGGGAAUAUUGCACAAUGGGGGAAACCCUGAUGCAGCGACGCCGCGUGAGUGAAGAAGUAUUUCGGUAUGUAAAGCUCUAUCAGCAGGGAAGAAAAUGACGGUACCUGACUAAGAAGCCCCGGCUAACUACGUGCCAGCAGCCGCGGUAAUACGUAGGGGGCAAGCGUUAUCCGGAUUUACUGGGUGUAAAGGGAGCGUAGACGGCUGGUCAAGUCUGAAGGGAAAGCCCGGGGCCUAACCCCGGAACGGCUUUGGAAACUGAGGAGCUAGAGUGAUGGAGAGGUAAGCGGAAUUCCUAGUGUAGCGGUGAAAUGCGUAGAUAUUAGGAGGAACACCAGUGGCGAAGGCGGCUUACUGGACAGUAACUGACGUUGAGGCUCGAAAGCGUGGGGAGCAAACAGGAUUAGAUACCCCGGUAGUC